UACGUAGGGGGGCAAGCGUUGUCCGGAAUCAUUGGGCGUAAAGCGCGUGUAGGCGGCCCGAUAAGUCCGCUGUGAAAGUCCAGGGCUCAACCCUGGAAUGCCGGUGGAUACUGUCGGGCUCGAGUCCGGAAGAGGCGAGUGGAAUUCCUGGUGUAGCGGUGAAAUGCGCAGAUAUCAGGAGGAACACCAAUGGCGAAGGCAGCUCGCUGGGACGGUACUGACGCUGAGACGCGAAAGCAUGGGGAGCGAACAGG
rnacentral:rRNA from 1 species